GCCGAUGGUGAACAACUUGCCACAAUCGAGACCCCUUUGCCCCUCUCUAGCUUUUGCUCAUGGUUCGAAUCUAGCAAGGGUGUGUUCCCUUUGAAGUAUGUGGUUAUUUGAAUAAUGGUCGUGAAGUGUUUGCUGAAAUGCAAGUCAAUUUUUUUUUUGGGCCAUUUUUUGGACUGAAGAUGUAUUGCAACCUGAAAAUUGAAGAUUGGUGUAGUACCAGCCCAAUCAUAGCCCUCUCCCCUGACAUUCUUGGUUGUCUGAUUGCCCCUUUAUUGAAUAGGAAGAUUGGGUGGGAUGAAGGAGGUGGAGGUUUGAAUGUUGUUUGCUCCAAGUGAGAGACUUUUGUAUCUCUUGAAGAAAUGUCAGUGUCAUGAUGAGUGCGAUCUUAAUGGUUUUCGCUAAUGUUGGAUGAGCCAAUCAGUUUAACUGCGUAGGGGAUUGCUAGGAGAAGUGAGCUAACUAUCAUG